UUGAAAUAGCAGCCUCUUUAGUGGCAGAUGAAUGUAGAAGACUCUGCAAAAGGUUCUCGGGCAGCAUUCUGCAAGACCGCAGCUUUGAAGGAAUAUUUCAGUUUUCUUGGGAGAAACUUGAAAUGAACUGCAACUACGGGCUCCAAAAUUCCUUUACAUUGUUUCACAUGCUGUCACAGACAAGCCACCUACUCAGACAUACAGAAGCCGUACUCAGAUGCUAUAUACAAUUGCAAGUGCACUGCAUGCCCGGAGUAGAGAAAUGACGGUUCUUCAGUACUUGACAGGUUUCAUUUUAAUGAAUGGGGGAUGUACUCCAAGGCUUUUACAGAUCUGUACAACUCAAAGGAAUAGUUUACUGUUUUUUGUAAGGAAAGUUUAAUAUCAAGUUCCUUUAUGGAUAAUCAUCUUGGAUGUACCAGCUAACUUUCGCAGAUGAACAUUGACAGACUAGCAAAAAUUGGAGUCACUGUGUUAUCAGAUACUCUGCAUAAGAAACUUUCAAACUGGCAGGAAUAUCUUGAUAAUGAACUUUUACAAAUAAAAGAGAACUGGAGU